rnacentral:lncRNA from 1 species
GAUACUUUACAUAUAUGAUGCUGCUGCAUUCUGAUGUUAAAAGAGUUUCAAAGAUAAUUUAAGUAUAAGGGGAUCCAUCUAGGACGCUGGUGGGGUAUUUGGAUUCAUCCGGUACGUCAGUGAGGUAUGAUUGGAACUGCAGGGAUUAUUUGGACCCAUCCAUGACGUUAGUUGGGUAUUUAGACUCAUUUGGGACGCCGAUGAUGUAUGAUCGGAUCCACAGGGAUUGUUUGGACCUAUUCGGUUAUGCCGGUAGGGAUUAUUUGGACUCAUCCGAUAUGUCGGUGCGGUAUGAUUGGACAUGCAGGGAUUAUUUGGACCCAUCCAGGAUGCUAG